rnacentral:rRNA from 1 species
UCAAAUCAUCAUGCCCUUAUGUUCUGGGCUACGACACGUGCUACAAUGGCCGGUACAGACGGACGCAAAGCCGCGAGGCGGAGCAAAUCCGAAAAAGCCGGUCUACAGUUCGGAUUGCAGGCUGCAAUUCGCCUGCAUGAAGUCGGAAUCGCUAGUAAUCGCAGGUCAGCAUACUGCGGUGAAUACGUUCCCGGGCCUU